rnacentral:rRNA from 1 species
CCUACAGGGGGCUGCAGUGGGGAAUAUUGGACAAUGGGGGGAACCCUGAUCCAGCCAUGCCGCGUGUGUGAAGAAGGCCCUCGGGUUGUAAAGCACUUUCAGUGAGGAAGAACGCCUGGUGGUUAAUACCCAUCAGGAAAGACAUCACUCACAGAAGAAGCACCGGCUAACUCCGUGCCAGCAGCCGCGGUAAUACGGAGGGUGCGAGCGUUAAUCGGAAUUACUGGGCGUAAAGCGCGCGUAGGUGGCUUGAUAAGCCGGUUGUGAAAGCCCCGGGCUCAACCUGGGAACGGCAUCCGGAACUGUCAAGCUAGAGUGCAGGAGAGGAAGGUAGAAUUCCCGGUGUAGCGGUGAAAUGCGUAGAGAUCGGGAGGAAUACCAGUGGCGAAGGCGGCCUUCUGGACUGACACUGACACUGAGGUGCGAAAGCGUGGGUAGCAAACAGGAUUAGAUACCCGUGUAGUC